rnacentral:rRNA from 1 species
UGUGAACUCGAAGAGUAGGGCGGGACACGUGGUAUCCUGUCUGAAUAUGGGGGGACCAUCCUCCAAGGCUAAAUACUCCUGACUGACCGAUAGUGAACCAGUACCGUGAGGGAAAGGCGAAAAGAACCCCGGCGAGGGGAGUGAAAAAGAACCUGAAACCGUGUACGUACAAGCAGUGGGAGCACCUUCGGGUGUGACUGCGUACCUUUUGUAUAAUGGGUCAGCGACUUAUAUUCUGUAGCAAGGUUAACCGUAUAGGGGAGCCGCAGGGAAACCGAGUCUUAACUGGGCGUUAAGUUGCAGGGUAUAGACCCGAAACCCGGUGAUCUAGCCAUGGGCAGGUUGAAGGUUGGGUAACACUAACUGGAGGACCGAACCGACUAAUGUUGAAAAAUUAGCGGAUGACUUGUGGCUGGGGGUGAAAGGCCAAUCAAACCGGGAGAUAGCUGGUUCUCCCCGAAAGCUAUUUAGGUAGCGCCUCGUGAAUUCAUCUUCGGGGGUAGAGCACUGUUUCGGCUAGGGGGUCAUCCCGACUUACCAACCCGAUGCAAACUACGAAUACCGAAGAAUGUUAUCACGGGAGACACACGGCGGGUGCUAACGUCCGUCGUGAAGAGGGAAACAACCCAGACCGCCAGCUAAGGUCCCAAAGUCACAGUUAAGUGGGAAACGAUGUGGGAAGGCACAGACAGCCAGGAUGUUGGCUUAGAAGCAGCCAUCAUUUAAAGAAAGCGUAAUAGCUCACUGGUCGAGUCGGCCUGCGCGGAAGAUGUAACGGGGCUAAACUGUGCACCGAAGCUGCGGCAGCGACACUAUGUGUUGUUGGGUAGGGGAGCGUUCUGUAAGCCUGCGAAGGUGGCCUGUGAGGGUUGCUGGAGGUAUCAGAAGUGCGAAUGCUGACAUAAGUAACGAUAAUGCGGGUGAAAAGCCCGCACGCCGGAAGACCAAGGGUUCCUGUCCAACGUUAAUCGGGGCAGGGUGAGUCGACCCCUAAGGCGAGGCCGAAAGGCGUAGUCGAUGGGAAACAGGUUAAUAUUCCUGUACUUGGUGUUACUGCGAAGGGGGGACGGAGAAGGCUAUGUUAGCCGGGCGACGGUUGUCCCGGUUUAAGCAUGUAGGCGGAGGU